rnacentral:rRNA from 1 species
GAACUUAAGCAUAUCAGUAAGCGGAGGAGAAGAAACUAACAAGGAUUCCCCUAGUAACAGCGAGUGAACAGGGAAAAGCUCAAAUUUUAAAUCUGGGAUCUCUGAUCUCCGAAUUGUAAUUGCAAGAGACUUCUAUGGGUAGUUCCUGUUGACUCAAGUUCUUUGGAAGAAGACAUCAUAGAGGGUGAUAAUCCCGUCUAGGUCAAUAGGAGGCGCCACAUAUAUAGAAGUUUCAAAGAGUCGGUUUGUUUGGGAAUGCAGACCAAAAUGGGUGGUACAUUUCAUCUAAAGCUAAAUACUGGUAGGAGACCGAUAGCGAACAAGUACCGUGAGGGAAAGAUGAAAAGAACUUUGAAAAGAGAGUUAAAUAGUGCGUGAAAUUGUUAAAAGGGAAACGAUUGAGAUUAGUGUUGCUCUUGGUCAGUUCAAUGUUCACUUGUGAGCAUGUAUUCUGCCAAAGCAGGUCGACUCUUGUUCAUAAGGUCGGAAAAGACAUUAGGAAAGGUGGCUUUACCUUCGGGUUUACGCUUUAUAGUCCUAGUGGAAUACGAUCUAAUGGACGAGUCAAGUAGGCCCUUCAGGGUCAAGUCGACGAAAUGAUCUUAACCGACCCGUCUUGAAACACGGACCAAGGAGUCUAACAUAUAUGCGAGUAUUUGAGUGGCAAACUCGAAUGCGUAAAGAAAUUGAAUGUCAGUAUGGGAACAUUCAAUCAUGAAUUGAUAUGUGCACCAUAGACCGGUUCUCGUCUUUUGACUUGGAUUGAGUUAGAGCAUAUCUGUUGGGACCCGAAA